GGUGUCUAUAAAAAUUACACAUGGUGUAAGAAAAACAUUAUAACAUACACAUAAGUGUUUUAAGAUAAUCUGACAUACUUUAAAAGCAUAAGAAUAAAAGUUUUUUUUUUUUUUAAAAAUCAUGUUCUUUGAUGAUCACAUUACAUGUAUCACAUUUUUUAAAGCAUAACGUAGGGUGUUCACAAAAACAGUUUUAUGAUUACUUUUUCCACAGUGCUUGUAUGCCUCUUGCAAAACUAUGUACUUAUCACCAUAUGACAUAAUAACUCACGAUUAUGCAAGACCAGCCAUGAAAUGUCCGUCGCUUCAUUACAAUCAUUUGUCCCCGCUGCUGCCCUCAGACCCAGUCUGUGGGGUAAAAUUGCUUUUUUGGUGGUUCAUAAAAAAUAUCUCAAAAAGCGAUGUUAGUGAGGGGACCAGAAACACUGGGUUGCAGAGCAGUUGGUAAGGACUUGUAUAUUUCUGGAGAGUCUGCAAAAGCUGUCUUGCUCGUGCUCCUGAUUGGAUAUGUGGAGCCCGGCUCUGAUAUCUCACUGGUGGCAGCUAAAGGUAGGCAUGCCUUGGAGGCGGAGUUGGUCUCGGGCGCAAUCUUUCAAACGAGCCUCACGGCAUUUCAGGCAACCUCAGGCCGGAAACAACAUCCGGUCACUCGCGGUCAAAAUCCACGCAGAGCUGGUGUUUCGCAGGGAUCAGGUUAACACAGCUGGGUCUAAAAAUAUAAAGAAAAACAAAAAGAGUUUUAAAACACGCAAACUAGCAAAAUAUCAAAGGAGCAUAACAUAACAAUAACAAGAUGAUAUGAGAUACCUGAUGAGGCCAUGAUAGGUGAUGUAGACAUGUAAUGUAUAAACUUUUACGGGAGUUAAAAGUGGAGCUUAUAUAUAUUUUAAAGUGUAUUGUACGUGGGAUAGGCUCCAGCGCACCGCGCGAGCCUGAGAAAAGGAUAAGUGGAGGCGAAUGGAUGGAUGGAUGGUGUAUUGUACCUGUUACAAACCAUUGUGAUAUUUAUUUAUUUUUUUAAAUGAAAGGAUUGACAGAAUGGUAAAAAGGAAAAUGCAAAAAUGUAGUUAGAGAGGAAGAUUAACACUUACCGAAUGAUAUGCGGAUAAGGAAAGAGACGCAAGUUGCUGUUGAAAUCGGUCGCUCCCUAUGCGAACUCGCAAGCAGUCUGAGCGGUUCCAGUUGUUGAUACGUCUGAAGUCAGAUCUCUUCUGGGGUUCGAAGAUAGUCUUAACAUCAGCGGGAGAUCGUAAAAUCAGACCUGGAGCGGAUUGGCUAACCGGGGUGCGAAGGGAGCGGUGCAAGGGUUAUGUGAUUGGCAGCGGGGCGCAGUGAGGCGGAGUUGGUCUAAGGGGGGAAUUUUCAAACGAGGUAAGCAGCGCAUUCGGGAGCAGAGCGGGGAGCGAACAAGCAGGAAAAAAUUGUGCUCUGCAAGAAGUUGUGGAUCGGAGAUUAAGAGCGAGGUAGAACUUAGAGUGUGGGUUGAAUUUUAGAGCUUGCUAGUAAGAGGGAAGUUUUUGAAGGAAAAAAGAAUAAGGAUUUUCCCUGUUAUCGAAUAUAAGGUUUUUGGGAAUAGAGGGGUAGCUAACAAGUUAUUCUAGGGGUUUUGGAGAAAUCGCGGAGAAAUUUUUAAAAGGAGUUUUGGCUUUGUUUGGCUGAGCAUGAAGGGAGCCGCGGGGCGCUGAAUUUGAAAAAAAAGACUAAGGAUUUUUUCAGGAUUUUCCCUGUUAUCGAAUAUAAGGUUUUGGGAAUAGAGGGGGUACCCUAACAAGUUAUUGUAGGGUUUUGGAGAAAUAGCGGAGGGUUUUUUAAGGAGUUUUCCCUGCUUAUGUAUCUAAGGA
ensembl:lncRNA